rnacentral:rRNA from 1 species
UGAACGCUGGCGGCAUGCUUUCCACAUGCACGUCGACCGGCAGCGCGGGCUUCGGCCUGGCGGCGAGUGGCGCACGGGCGAGUAAUACAUCGGAACGUGCCCAGUAGUGGGGGAUAGCUCGGCGAAAGCCGGAUUAAUACCGCAUACGACCUGAGGGUGAAAGCGGGGGAUCUUCGGACCUCGCGCUAUUGGAGCGGCCGAUGGCAGAUUAGCUAGUUGGUGGGGUAAAGGCCUACCAAGGCGACGAUCUGUAGCUGGUCUGAGAGGACGACCAGCCACACUGGGACUGAGACACGGCCCAGACUCCUACGGGAGGCAGCAGUGGGGAAUUUUGGACAAUGGGCGAAAGCCUGAUCCAGCAAUGCCGCGUGUGUGAUGAAGGCCUUCGGGUUGUAAAGCACUUUUGGCGGGAACGAAAAGGACUGUGCCAAUACCACGGUUCGAUGACGGUACCCGCAGAAUAAGCACCGGCUAACUACGUG